UCUCAGUUCGGAUUGAAGGCUGAAAUUCGCCUUCAUGAAGCUGGAAUUGCUAGUAAUCGCGGAUCAGCAUGCCGCGGUGAAUACGUUCCCGGGCCUUGUACACACCGCCCGUCACACCAUGAGAGUCGGGAACACCCGAAGUCCGUAGUCUAACCGCAAGGAGGGCGCGGCCGAAGGUGGGUCCGGUAAUUGGGGUGAAGUCGUAACAAGGUAUC
rnacentral:rRNA from 1 species